rnacentral:lncRNA from 1 species
GAGAUUCUGUCAGCUCUGGCCUGAAUUUGUCAGAGACUCAUUUGGUGUUUCAUUUGAAAUAUUUAUGCUUUCAGUUUUGAUCAAUUGCGAAAACAACAAUUAGGCUAACACAAUGUCCGACCUUUGUUGUUCUUCCACUGGAAAUGUUUCAUUGAUGCUGUUUAGUGUUUUAUUUUUUAUUUUACCGUUAUUUUUUUUACACAUUCUCAUUUACUGCAACGACCUGGGGAACUGUUUCAGGGGAGAGGAGGGGUAUGAAUGAGCUAAUUGUAAGCUGUGGAUGAUUCGAUGACGGUGAUGGUAUGAGGACCAGUAACAGUCUGGAAUGGUUUUGCUCAACGUGUUUUCAUCCAGUUAAACUACUAGUUGAUGGAGAGGCGAGUGAGUUCGGUUUGAUAGAAUGUAGUCGUAACUUUGGCGACUUGAGACGUGUUGGCAGUAUGUCAGGCCAGGUACAUGAAGAUCAUCUCUUGACAGCUCCAUCAGUUACCAUCUCUGGUCAGCUGUACAUGAUCCCUUGUUAACAGAUUGACAUGAGAGGCUAAAACAAUCACAUCCCACUUAACUCACAGGACCAUGAAAGCAGAGCUGCCAGAGAUCACUCAGCAUGCACACUACUGGUCAACAUUUUCAGAACACCUCAUUCAAGAGUUACUUAUUUUUACUAUUUUCUACAUUGUAGAAUAAUAGUGAAGACAUCAACUAUGAAAUAACACAUAUGGAAUCAUGUAGUAACCAAAAAAGUGUUGAACAAAUCAGAAAUAUUUUAUAUUAGAUUCUUCAAAUAGCCCCCCUUUGCCUUGACAGCUUUGCACACUCUUGGCAUUCUCUCAACCAGCUUCACCUGGAAUGCUUUUCCAACUGUCUUGAAGGAGUUCCCACAUAUGCUGAGCACUUGUUGGCUGCUUUUCCUUCACUCUGCGGUCCGACUCAUCUCAAACCAUCUGAAUUUGGUUGAGGUUGGGAUUGUGGAGGCCAUGUCAUCUGAUGCAGUACUCCAUCACUCUCCUUUUUGGUCAAAUAGCCCUUACACCGCCUGGAGGUGUGUUGGGUCAUUGUCCUGCUGAAAAACAAAUGAUAGACCCACUAAACCCAAACCAGAUUGGAUGGUGUAUCGUGGCAGAAUGCUGUGGUAGCCAUGCUGGUUAAGUGUGCCUUGAAAUCUAAAUAAAUCACAGUGUCACCAGCAAAGCACACCCACACCUUAACUUCCUCCUCCAUGUUUUACGGUGGGAAAUACACAUGCGGAGAUCAUCCGUUCACCCACACCGUGUCUCACACAGACAAAAAUCUCAAAUUUGGACUCAUCAGGCCAAAGGACACAUUUCCACAGGUCUAAUGUCCAUUGCUUGUGUUUCUUGGCCUAAGCAAGUCUCUUCUUCUUAUUGGUGUCUCUUAGUAGUGGUUUCUUUGCAGCAAUUCGACCAUGAAGGCCUGAUUCACGCAGUCUCCUCUGAACAGUUGAUGUUGAGACGUGUCUGUUACUCUGUGAAGCAUUUAUUUGUGCUGCAAUUUCUGAGCCUUGUAACUCUCUAAUGAACUUAUCCUCUGCAGCAGAGGUAACUCUGGGUCUUCCAUUCCUGUGGCAGUCCUUGAUGGUUUUUGCGACUGCACUUGAAGGAACUUUCAAAGUUCUUGAAAUGUUCCGUAUUGACUGAUCUUUACUUAUUUGAGCUGUUCUUGCUAUAAUAUGGACUUGGUCUUUUACCAAAUGGGGCUAUCUUCUGUAUACCCUCCCUAGCUUGUCACAACACAACUGAUUGGCUCAAACGCAUUAAAAAGGAAAGAAAUUUCACAAAUUAACUUCUAACAAGGCACACCUGUUAAUUGAAAUGCAAUCCAGGUGACUACCUCAUGAAACUGAUUUAGAGAAUGCAAAGCUGUCAUCAUGGCAAAGGGUGGCUAUUUGAAGAAUCUCCAAUAUUAAAUAUAUUUUGAUUUGUUUC